UGCUGAUAUGGCUCAGUUGGUAGAGCGCACCCUUGGUAAGGGUGAGGUCCCCAGUUCGACUCUGGGUAUCAGCA
rnacentral:tRNA from 1 species